UACAGAGACUGCGAGCGUUAUUCGGAUUCACUGGGCGUAAAGGGCGCGUAGGUGGCCUUCUAAGUCAGACGUGAAAUCCCCGGGCUCAACCCGGGAACUGCGUCUGAGACUGGAAGGCUUGAGGAUGGGAGAGGGAUGUAGAAUUCCAGGUGUAGCGGUGAAAUGCGUAGAUAUCUGGAGGAAUACCGGUGGCGAAGGCGGCAUCCUGGACCAUUACUGACGCUGAGGCGCGAAAGCUAGGGGAGCAAACGGG
rnacentral:rRNA from 1 species